rnacentral:lncRNA from 10 species
AUGGCCUCCGGUAACAUGCACAUUGGAAAGCUCACCCCUGACUUCAAGGCCACUGCCGUGGUGGAUGGCACCUACAGGGAGGUAAAGCUGUUGGACUACAGAGGGAAGCACGUGGUCCUCUUUUCCAUCCUCUGGACUUCACUUUUUUUUUUUUUUUUUUAAACAGAGUCUAGCUCUGUUGUCCAAGCUGGGGUGCAGUGGCUCGAUGUCAGCUAACUGCAACCUCUGCCUCGUGGGUUCAAGCGAUUCUCUUGCCUCAGCCUCCCAAGUAGCUGGGACUACAAGCACAUGCCACCUUGCCCUGCUAAUUUUGUAUUUUUAGUAGAGAUGGGAUUUCACCAUGUUGGCCAGGUCAGUCUUGAACUCCUGACCUCAGGUGAUUUGCCAGCCUCAGCCUCCCAAAGUGCUGGGAUUACAGGUGUGAGCCACUGAGCCUUGGACUUCACUUUCGUGUGCCCCCACAGAGAUCAUCGCAUUCAGCGACCAUGCUGAGGGCUUCCGAAAGCUGCAAAGUGCUGGGGACCUCGGUGGGCUCAGUUCACCCACCUGGCUUGGAUCAACAUCCCCCGGAAGGAGGGAGGCUUUGAGUCCCUGGACACCCCUCUGCUUGCUGACGUGACCUGAAGUUGUCUGAGAAUUACGGCGUGUUGAAAACAGACGAGGGCAUUGUCUGCAGGGGCUUUUUUUUUUUUUUUUUGAGACGGAGUGGCCCAGGCUGGAGUGCAAUGAUGCAAUCUCGGCUCACUGCAACCUUCGCCUCUCCGGUUCAAGUGAUUCUCCUGCCUCAGCUUCCCGAGUACCUGGGAUUACUGGAGUGCGCGACCACGCCUGGCUAAUUUUUGUAUUUUUAGUAGAGACGGGGUUUCUUCACGUCAGUCAGGCUGGUCUCGAACUCCUGACCUCAGGUGAUCUGCCUGCCUCGGCCUCCCAAAGUGCUGGGAUUACAUCUGUGAGCCACCACGCCUGGCCUGCAGGGACCUCUUUAUCAUCCAUGGCAAGGAUGUCCUUCCCCAGAUCGCUGUUAAUGAUUGGCCUGUGGGACACUUUGUGGAUGAGGCCCUGCGGCUGGUCCAGGCCUUCCAGUACACAGACGAGCACCCGGAAAUUUGUCCUGCUGGCUGGAAGCCUGGCAGUGACAUGAUCAAGCCCAGCGUGAAUGACAGCAAGGAAUAUUUCUCCAAACACAACUAG